rnacentral:rRNA from 1 species
GAUGAACGUUGGCGGCGUGCCUAAUACAUGCAAGUCGAACGAAGACUGUAGUAAUACUGUCUUAGUGGCGAACGGGUGAGUAACGCGUGGGUGACCUGCCCCGAAGUGUGGGAUAACAGUCCGAAAGGAUUGCUAAUACUGCAUAAUAUCCAAGAGAUUAGAUGCUUUUGGAUUAAAGGAGUAAUUCGCUUCGGGGAGGGGCCCGCGUCCCAUCAGCUAGUUGGUAAGGUAAUGGCUUACCAAGGCGAUGACGGGUAGGGGACCUGAGAGGGUGGCCCCCCACAAUGGAACUGAAACACGGUCCAUACACCUACGGGUGGCAGCAGUAGGGAAUAGUCUACAAUGGCCGGAAGGCUGAUAGUGCGACGCCGCGUGAACGAGGGAGCCCUUCGGGGUGUAAAGUUCUUUUCUAUACGAGCAGUGCUAUAUAUAUGGAUAGUAUAUAUAGAGGGAUAGUAGUAUAGGAAUAAGCAACGGCUAACUCCGUGCCAGCAGCCGCGGUAAAAGUGU